CAAAGCCUUGUGGGUAGGUUACCAACGUCCUUGUCCACCAAGCGCCCACCGACUGGCUUCGCGCUUGGGAUUUUGGGGGUCUCUGUCAUUCACUAGUACUUGAACUAAGUUGGAAUUGUCCAACAUGAUUGCAGCAAGAUUGCUCCGCCGUUCUCUCCCCGUACUGAGGCAAGCGCGCUGCUACGCCGAGGCUGCCUCCGGUGCCCCGCAGAUGUCCUUCACUUUCGCCUCCCCGACACAGGUGUUCUUCAAAGAGGCCACCGUGAAGCAGGUGGACGUGCCCACGCUGACUGGCGCGUUUGGUAUCCUUCCUGCCCACGUGCCCACCUUGCAGGUCCUGCGGCCUGGCGUUGUCACGGUCUUCAGCGACGACGGCUCCGCUGCUAAAUACUUCGUGAGCAGUGGGUCCAUAACGGUCAAUGCCGAUUCUUCAGUGCAGCUGCUCGCUGAAGAGGCUGUACCGCUGGACCAGCUGGACAUUGCUGCUGCCAAGGCCAACCUGGAGAAGUCCCAGGCUGACCUGGCCGGUACGUCAGACGAGAUGGCGAGGGCAGAGGUUCAGGUCAGCAUAGAUGCCAACGAAGCCAUCGUCAAGGCGUUGGAGUAGACAUGCCCUGCGGUACGGCCCACCACCCAACUUUAUCCACCAGUUCAUCUGUCAAAGUGCUUUUUUUGGAGGAACGCCCUUUCAGCAUCUUCAGUUGUCCUGUGAAUUCCAUGCUUGCUUUGUACAGUGGACGAAAAAACAAAAUAAAUUUACUUGGAAUUA